AUGUAUCGGAACCCAUGGAUCUCGAAUUACCUGACUCAUGUCAAGUUUUGCAGCCAAGGACUCGGGAGUGAGAUCCCCAAUAAACUGAGCAACCCCAGAUUGCUGCAGAAGAGAGCUUUGAGCUUUCAGAAAGAAUUCUCCCUUGAUGAAAAAGAGGACCCGGCAAAAAGUACCAAGGAUAUAGAUGUUAGUCUCUUGGCCAAUCUCCCAAGAGUUUCUGAAUUGAGAAAACGAUUCGAAGGCAUCACAACAAGCACUAGUGACUGGGAAAUGAACAGAAAGGAGCGUAUCGCUCGGCGGUUGGAGGGCAUCGAUGGUGAGGUGCAUCCGUCUCUGCUGCCGAGUUUGGUGGCCAACCGGCUUCUGGAGGAGGACACACCCCGAUACACGAGGGCCUCGGAUCCCUGUGAGCCCUUUGGUGGUGAGACAAGUGCCAGACCUGACCCCCAGUCCUCCGUCCCCAUGGAGCCCGCCUGCACUUCGGCUUCCACCACCGGCGGCCCUGAGCCUGAGUCAAAGGCUGAACGAAUUGCCCGCUACAAGGCAGAGAGGCGCAGACAGCUCGCAGAGCGCUAUGGCAUCUCUUUAGAUCAGGAGCCGGACUUGGGACAACCCCCGCGCUCCACUCGUACCCGGAAGGAAUUGGAAGGCUCGGAGAGGCGAAUCCGAGGGGAGUCGGUGGGGAAAGACGGGCAGGACAUCGCCCAUCGUUCUUACACCGGCAGCUUGGGCGCCAACUCUCGGGCCCCACUGCACGGCCACUCGGACUCGGGUCAAGCGAUGGGUCGGACCAGGGCGGACUCCUUUACAGAGAGGGAGAGGGUGAUGAAUCUAGAGAAUCAACGCAGAGCUGCUCCGCCGGAGCCUCCGUCCUCUUACAUGGACGUGACAUCGUUGUCCUCGCCCGCCAGGGUUCCUGCCAAGGACUACUUCGUCACAGUGAUGCAACCUAGUUCACCCAAGCUAAGCAGGCACCUCUCCCUGUCCUCACCUAAGCACGGGGCGUCUCCUGGUGACCUGUUCAUUGAGCAGCAGUAUUCCUCUAUCCUCUCUGUAGCUGAUGAAGAGAAGCUAGAUGAGAGGGCCAAGCUGAGCGUAGCCGCCAAGCGCUCUCUCUUCAGGGAGCUGGAGAAGACCAUUGAUGGUGGAGCUCCAAAACCGCGGUACAGGAACACUGCAGUGGACAGGAGACUCAGGAGGACACAAGACCGGUCCAGGACUCAGCCAGUCACCACUGAGGAAGUAGUCAUCGCCGCCACCCUGCAGGCGUCUUCGCAGCAAAGUGCCGCAGCCCCCCGGGAAAAGAGGGCUGCCGAAAAGGCUCACAGUGAGGGUCCGGAUGAGCCCGACCUCAGCACUCUCAGUCUGGCGGAAAAGAUGGCGCUGUUCAACCGGCUGGCUCAACCUCCCAUCAGGGUCACUCGGACCAGGGGGGACACGCGCCAGCGCAGGACCAACGCCCGCUACCAGACACAACCCAUCACGCUGGGAGAUAUGGAGCAGCUUCAAAAUGGUCCGGCCUCUCGGUUCGGAAACCUCCCCGCCUCAUCAUCGUCCUCCUCCGCUCAGAGAGGCGGCACCGUCUCCACGGACCAUGCCGGAGACAUCCACUUAACCCGAGCAGCAGCGGGGGCCCAGGUUGAGUCCCGGGACCCGGCGGACCACCAGAGGUGCCAAAUGUUGCCGCGGGGCAAAGACGGCCCUGAUCUGGGAGGAGGGAAGAGGAAGCUGUCCUCCCCGGAGGGAGCGGUCAGGCAGGCUGCUCUGCCCCAGCCCCAGACGGGAGGAAAGAGAAGAGAGGUGGACGAGGAGGAAGUGGGGGAGGAAGAGGAGGAGUGGCAGCUGGCUAAAGGGUGGGGAGACACAGCGAUGCAGAGCUCAGAGAGUCCCAUGAUCCUGGAGCAGCAGGAGACUCACGCGCAGUACGCGGACAGCCAGAGGAGCAGGGCCGUCAGCGUGGGUGAGCACAUGGCCUUGUUGAAGAAGAGCGGCGAGGACGACUGGAGGAGCCGGAUUAACAGGAAGCAAGACGCGGCGCAGGCGACUGCCGACGAACAGCACCUUCACCACUUGGAGGAGGAGGAGCAGAUCUUUAAGAAGAAGGAUGACGAACUGCUGAUGAUGAUUGAUGAGAUCGACGUGUCCGACGAGCUCUGGGUAAGGCCAGUGAUAGCUGAGUCGGAGAUGGAGCACCAGGGGAAUGAGGCUCACUUGUCCAUCCAGGAGAGGAAGCGGCUAAUCGUAGCCCAGGAGGAGUCUUGGAAGACCAAAGGCUACGGCGCCGCCAAUGACUCCACCCAGUUCACUGUGGCCGCACGCAUGGUGAAGAAAGGGUUGGCUUCCCCUUCGGCCCUCCAGGCCCCAGUGUCCUCCAAACCCAAGAACAGCAGCCUUGCCAUCGCCAAACCUCAAGAAGAGAUCAAGGCCAUGCCAGAUCUGAACCUGGAGUCGGACAUGAAGCUGGAUAAACUGGAGUCAUUUAUCGGCAAGCUCAACAGCAAAGUGUCUGGACUGCCAGAAUCGACCAUCACAGUCACGCAGAAGAAGGUGAAGGAGGUGAUGACCCUCGAAGACGAAACGUUCUCCAAGUUCUACCGCCAAGUGGAGGAGCUCUCCCCCACCACCAACAGGCUGGAGAUUAGCCUCGACGACUUCGAUGCCAUCUUCGGCCCCCAGCUGCCAAAGCUGACCUCGGAAAUGGAGCAGCACAAGCGGGCGGUGCGCCCGGCACGUAACGUCCAGUCGUCUAGAAACCCUCUGAAGAUGCUGGCCGCCAGGGAGGACAUCAGACACGAGUACACGGAACAGAGACUCAACGUUGGCCUGCUGGAGAGCAAGAGGAUGAAGGCUGAGAAGACGAACAAAAACUCUGGUUUCUCCGACGUGGCUCUGGCCGGUCUGGCAAGCAAGGAGAACUUCAGCAACAUCAACCUGCGCAGCGUCAACAUCUCCGAGCAGAUGUCCAACAAUAGCGCUGUGCCUUACAAGAAACUCAUGCUCUUACAGGUCAAAGGCCGACGGCACGUCCAGACCAGGCUGGUGGAGCCCAGAGCGUCCUCCCUGAACAGCGGGGAUUGCUUCCUACUCGUAACGCCACACCACUGCUUUAUCUGGACCGGGGAGUUUGCCAACGUAAUCGAGAAGAACAAGGCUUCAGAGUUGGCAAACUUCAUCCAGAGAAAGAGAGACUUAGGCUGCCGAGCCAACUACGUCCAGGUCAUCGAGGAAGGCGUCAGCACGCACAGCCAUUCUGCCAAGGACUUCUGGAAUAUUUUGGGGGGGCAGUUGAGUUAUCAGUCCGCAGGGACACCAGACGAAGACGAGCUGUACGAGGGGGCCAUCGUGGAGACCAACUGUAUCUACCGCCUGAUAGACGACAAGCUGGUCCCAGAUGAUGAUUUUUGGGCCAAGGUCCCGAGCUGUUCCCUGCUCUUCCCCAAGGAGGUCUUGGUGUUUGACUUUGGCAGCGAGAUGUACAUAUGGCACGGGAAGGAGGUGACGCUGGCACAGAGGAAGGUGGCCUUCCAGCUGGCAAAGCACCUGUGGAACGGCACCUUCGAUUACACCAACUGUGACAUCAACCCGCUCGACCCGGGCGAGUGCAACACUCUCAUACCCAAGAAAGGUCAGGGCCGACCGGACUGGGCCGUGUUUGGCAGGCUGACUCAGCACAACGAAACCACCCUGUUCAAAGAGAAGUUCCUGGACUGGUGCGACUCCAGGAGAACACCAAGCCCCGCAAAAAACAACGAACACAUCACCAAUCAAAAGGAAAUGGCCAUUCCUUUCUGCCCUCCCCAUGCGUACGACGCCUCCCUGAUGCUGCCCCUCCCUCAGGCGCCCGUCUGCACCAGACUAGACGGAUUCAACGUGGGGCGGGGCUACGGCCUGGUGGAGGCCGAGGAGUGGCGCAGCUACGAGAUCAGCACACUGGGCGUGGAGGUGUGGCACAUCCUGGAGUUUGACUAUAGCCGCCUGCCGUGCCAGAGCAUAGGCCAGUUCCACGAGGGGGACACAUACGUGAUGAAGUGGAAGUACAUGGUCAGCGCUGCGGUUGGGAGGAGACAGAACCCGGAGCAGCAGAAGUCGGCGGGGGCCGGGAGGGAGAAGUGCUGCUACUUCUUCUGGCAGGGCCGCAACUCCACAGUCAGCGAGAAAGGAACGUCGGCGCUCAUGACCGUGGAGCUGGACGAGGAGCGUGGAGCGCAGGUUCAGGUCCAGCAGGGUAAGGAGCCUCCGUGUUUCCUGCAGUGCUUCAAAGGAGGGAUGGUGAUCCACUCGGGGCGGAGAGAAGAGGAGGAGGAGAACUCUCAAAGUGACUGGCGUCUGUACUGUGUGGCCUGUCACUGCACUAGCCUGCGCUCCAGGGCGUCCAUGGUGCUGCUGAGUGCGAGCCAGGCCGCCAUCUACCUGUGGCACGGCUGCAAGUCUCAGGCGCACACGCGGGAGGUGGCGCGCACCGCCGCCAACCACAUCAGAGAGCAUUGUCCUCUGGAAACGGGCCUUCACAGCAGCAGCAAGGUGACCAUCUGGGAGUGUGACGAGGGAGCAGAGCCCGCGGGAUUCUGGGAGCCCCUCAGGAGGAGGGACAGGAAAGCGUACGACUGCAUGCUGCAAGACCCAGGAAGGUUUAACUUCUCACCGCGUCUGUACCAGCUGAGCAGCAGCUCCGGGGAGUUUGUGGCAGUAGAGUUUCUUUACCCUGCCAGAGACCCCAGGGAGGUCAACUCCAUGCCCUUCCUGCAGGAGGACCUCUAUGCGGCUUCACAACCAGCCCUGUUCCUGGUGGACAACCAUCACGAGGUGUAUCUGUGGCAGGGCUGGUGGCCUCAGGACAGCGAAAGCACCGGCUCAGCCCAAAUCCGCUGGGACUCGGACAGGAAGUGUGCCAUGGAGACUGUGCUGCAGUACUGCAGAGAAAAGAAUGAGAAGAAGCCUCCCAAAGCGUACCUGAUCCACGCCGGUCUGGAGCCUCUCACCUUCACCAACAUGUUCCCCAGCUGGGAGCACAGAGAGGACAUCGCUGAGAUCACUGAGAGGGUACUUGAUCAUCAUUUGAAAGAGGCUGAGGUGUGUAACCAGAUCAUCCUAGUGGAGGAUGUGUUGGCCCGGCUGUGUAAGACCACGUACCCACUGGCAGAUGUUCUGACCCGGCCGCUGCCCGAGGGCGUUGACCCUCUUCGCCUGGAGGUCUACCUGUCCGACGAGGACUUUGAGGGUGUAGGGGCUUAUGGGAAGAAAGCCCUGCAGACCACCAGAGAGGAGUACAGCGCUUUGCCUGGCUGGAAGCAGGUGAAGCUGAAGAAAGCCAAAGGACUUUUUUAAGGGGGGUUGAGACAGCGAGCUGACCUGAAGACACCGGGAUGCCUGGGACAUAGCGGAGGAUGGGAGCCUCACCUAAGGUAACCACGACGGAGGAAGGGAGCAGCGAAGCUACGGAGAAGGUGUUCCUCCACCAUCUUUGAGUCUGUGUUUUCCGGUCGUAAAGUUAGGAGACAAAUGCACCUUUUGUUAAGUUUAUUGAAUUUAAUGUUAAUGUACAUAUGUACCAUAUGCAAAAAACAGCCCGGUCACCUUACAUUGUCGGUCAUGCGGCCUUCUGUGAAGAGUGGGAGCAGACCUGUCAGCCUGUUCAACACACUCCACUUCACGUGCUCUGCUUUUGCUUUAUGUAUUUGUCCAUUACAAAUAAUUUAUAUUUAUCUUUGAAUAUAUAUUUUGAAGCUCCAUGAAUAUUCACUGAGCUAUGAAUGCUGAAUGAUAUUGAGUCAGUCUGUGUCAUAUGAUGAUAAAUACUGGAAAU
ensembl:lncRNA